GACAGCCCAGUGUGUACUGGAAAUCACCACGGACGGGGCUAAAAUCACCACAGACGGGGCUAAAAUCACCACGGACAGUGGUUAAAAUCACCACGGACAGGGGCUAAAAUCACCACGGACAGUCCACGAACAGCCUAAAUCACCCGAGAAUGCAAAAAUUCAGAAAUAUAGAUUUUUAAAGAAAAUUUUCUGAAAGGAAACAUCACAAAUAUGUCACUAAAGAGUUUAAGAUGUCAAGUGUUGAUCAAAAGUUGCCAUAGACACCCGUAAAGGCCAUGAAAGCUCGAUCAUUGUGGCAUCCAAAAGUCAUGGCUAGAAGCAAAAGAAAAUUAUGAAAAUUUACCAGAAAAUAGCUUCAACCAUCCUUAUGAAGCAUGCAAAAAAUCAGACUCAAAUUCGAAGUAUUUUUUUUUUUACAUUAAAAAUACUCACGGAACACAAUCAAUGUCUACUGCUGAAAGUCUGAAAAAAAGCCAUUUGUCUAUAUAAGGGGUAGGCACUCUUCAGUGCCUAACCCCCCAAGGUUGGACGUCCGUAUGGGUGUGGGCAAUGUCCGAGUGCCUAGUGCACGACGACUGUCCGUACGUACGUCCGACCUCCGGGCUGUCUCCGGUGACUUUUCCGGCGACUUUCCGGCGACCGCCAAAAUGACCGUUUUGCCCCUGAUUUUUUUUUCGCGCUUGUGCGGUCUUGGCCUGGUUUCGUUUGUCUUCCUGUUGCUCUACUGAUUUUCAUCAGACGAGUGGCAGGAAAGAUCGACGUUAGCGGGGCAAAUGAACGUUCGGCGUAUGAGUGGUGAUUGGAUAGCCAGUGUUUGUAGGCUCCGUGCUUGCGCACCCAACUACAGACCAACUAUCCUUCUCAGUUUCUUCACAAGCAUAGAUAUGCUUGCUGACUUGAUCCUGGGCUUGUGUUGCGUACCUAUCCAGAAGGAAUUGUUGAGCCUUGCUCGAUAUUUUGUUUGCGGCAUCUCCUUCACCGGAGAGGUCGUGAACACAAAAGCCGGCACUUGUGAUCCUUUCGGCUAUUGCAUAAACUAUGCAUUGCUCGCAAAGGUGAACAAGCUGUCAGCUGAAAUCUCGGUUGCGGAAAUCUUAUGGACGGUGACUCGAAGUAAUUCGGUCCCGCCAAGCAUAAUUGUCUCCGGACAAAAGAUGACGGCCAAGACCUUUUGUGUUCCUGCUUUCCUAGCGUUUGCGGAAAUCCUACUUUCCUAGCGUUUGCGGGAAUCUUGCUUUCCUAGCGUUUGCGAGAAUCCUACUUUCCUAGCGUUUGCGGGAAACUUGCUUUCCUAGCGUUUGCGAGAAUCCUACUUUCCUAGCGUUUGCGGGAAACAUGCUUUCCUAGCGUUUGCGAGAAUCCUACAUUCCUAGCGUUUGCGGGAAUCUUGCUUUCCUAGCGUUUGCGGGAAUACGAUUCGGUCUUGCCGUGAUUUAUGAAUGC
rnacentral:misc_RNA from 1 species